UACUCUCCCUCCCAUUUUUAUUGGCCAAAAAAAUAAUUGUUAAAAUAUUAGGAAAAACAAAUUGGGGCUUAGAGAGGAAGCUGAGCUGAAAAUAUAUGCUCAAGAACAUAUGCUCCAGAACAUAGCUGAAAAAUCCACACGUUCUCUUCUCCAGAACUUCAAAUCGACUGAAACAGAGCUAAAAAUCGAAGAGAGGAAGCUGAAAAUUGGAGGAGCUGAAGAGAGGAACUGAAGACUGAAGGUGAGAUGAAAAUUAGAGAAGCUAAACUGAUUUAUUCAAAAUAGGAGGAGCUUAAAUUAGAGGAGCUGAAAAUCGGAGGAUCUGAACUGAGCAGAUGUUGACCAACUGACUCUAUGCUCCAAGCUUUGUUAGUAUGAACAAAAUGCUUCAUACAUGAUCACGCCUCACAUCUUGGGUUGUUGCAACAGUGUUUAUAACUAUCAUCAACAUUCAAAAACAUCUGUGGAGGUUCAAGGUUUGAUUUGGCAUUGAAAAAGUUUCAUGAUUAGUCUAUAGCUGAAAUAAGUUCGAAAAAUAGGAAAAAACAACAGUGGAGGAAUCGAAUGGGACCAAUUAAUUUUGCAAGAGUACGCAUGUAAUUGGUAAUACUUAUAGACAUAUGAAUUUAAUCUUUACAUACUUAUUAUAAAAGGCAAAUAUUUUUUAAAUUUCAUGUAUUUUUGAUAUAAUUUGUAGCGUGCAACAAAAGAAAACAAUGAAGAACCAUCACAGCCUAAAAUGUUUAUUGCAACUUGUACAAAGACGUGAAAAGAAAUUUAGGCCGAUACCCAAGUUGCAAUAGUAAGUUUAUUAAAGAGGAUUAUUGGUAAAUUUAAUUCACACAUAUAUCUUAUUUAUUGUGGAGAGUGUAAAUAGUUCUUACUGUUAACUAUGGAUGUUAAUUUUAUUCAAUAGACUGAACUUCAAAAUUGUCAAAAUUUUGGGGAAACGGCGGAUGAUGCCUUUAGGGCAGUGUUUUGAAAGGAACAACCUGGCAUACAUAGGUGUUAUGGCAGAUCAGUGACAACAAGUUCUCUAUAAAAAGAUGAAGAAAAUAACAAGCUAAAACAAAAGCAUAUUAAUGAAAUCAGUCCUCUAAAGGAAGAAAUGAAUGAAAACAUGAAUGCAAUGAGAGUAGAAAUGUGACAUCUUUUUGUCCAGUUACUGCAAAAAAAACCCUGGAUUGGAUGUUCAAGAUUUACAAGGGGUGGUUGGAUCUAAUAUUGUUUCACCUGUUGUUUAUGCAAGUAGCGCAGAAGCUGUAGGAGGCAAAAAUAUUCCACAUUCUUCAGGGUCAACUGAAUUUUCCUCAAUUUUAUCUAGUUGUUCUUGUUGGCUGUUAGUUUUAUCUUGCACAACAAGAUCAUUAUAGUUAUUAUGAGUAGAAAUAGUAGAUUUGGUUGCUGAUUUGUAUGUGCAGUUGUGGAUCCAUCCGGCAGUCCAUGAUUGCUAGUGAUAUUUUAGAUAUUUUUAGCAAACUGCCAUGUCAUAAAAUUUCUAUCCAUUGUGUCUUUAUAUGGUUUAUGGCUUCAGGAACACUUAAAUGUUGUUGACCCAAACUAUGAGCUAUUUGUGAAGUAUAUACAUAGCCAUAACCAAUCCAAUGAACUUUCACGGAUUUCCAAUUCUUACACUAUCCACACCCAUAAGCAAUCACACAACUCUUAUUAAAUUCCUACCUAUCUAAUUAUAACUAAAUAACCCUUUAUUUCAUUCACUUUCAUACACACAUGUUUGAAAUAAAGAAAGAUAUAGAGCAUUAUAACUUUGCCAAAAAAUUUAUGACAUUGACUUUGUUUUCCAUAUUGUUAAGUAGUGUUAAUAUAUAGAGGUGGCUCGGGCUCAGGGAAUAUACAAUUUGUCGGGUGAAGGAUUAAUGUCAUGCAGACCAUCAAUCAUGCCACCUUAUCCGACAACGCCUACAGCUCAGUGCUGUAACGCGCUGUCUCAUGCAGACAUGGCCUGCCUUGCUCUUAUUAGGACUGUUACUAUUUGCAGGUUUACCUGCUGGCUUUACACUAGGAUCAUUGGGUUAAGCGUGCUAAAGUUUAUUGAUUUUCUAUUUCCCUGUUUGGUUACUGUUAUUUUGAUCCAUAGAAUAAAACAUCAAAUAUGUGUAACAACCUCACAAAAUUAUAUUUCUUCCAUUCUAUAUUAGGUAUCACAAAGGGGAGAAUCUUUGUUGUCAAGUUGUCUUUUGACUUUUCUCCUGAUACCUAAAUAGAAAGUGCAGACAUCUUGUCUGCCAAGAUUCUUAUUUUGUGUCAUGUGAUAUAAGUUGUGACUCUAGAUUUCAUUUAGCAUAUAAACUUCUCAAACCUUGAAUUGAAAUUCAACUUGGCAUUCUAUAUCGAGGACUAGAACUAAAACAUCUUCUUCCAAUUUAUGUUCUCUUUUGUCUUCUGUAUCCUAGAGUAAGUUCAUGAAUAAUAAAAGUAUCAUGAACUGCAAGCCUGAGUAAGUUCAUGAAUAAUAGAAGUAUCAUGAACUGCACGCCUCAAAUAAUACAAGUGUUGGUCAAAUAUGAAUUGCAGGCCUCAAAACAUCAACUACAGGCCUCAAAACAUUUUACAUACUUGGAAUCUCGAAUUUGGAAAUCAAGAAAUCUUAAAUCUGCAUAUCUCAAAAUUUGGAAUCUAGAAAUCUGAAAAUCUAAAAUCUGGAAAUGUUGAAUUUGGAAAUCAAUUUGGAAGUUUUGAAAUGAAGAUGAAUAUUGAGGAUGUAUAUUUUUUGUUUUAUUAAGGUUCCAUGCUUAUUUUUAACAUCUAGGAUUCAUAUUAUAGAUAAACAUCUACUUUUGGUGUCUUUUUCAAAUCAACUCAAUUGGCAGUUUGCUCAUCUUUAAUAUCUACUUUUGUUGCAAUCUAAUUUGUCAUAAAUUCUAAAGGUGUAGGGAAACGGUGGUGAUUAAAUUUGAAGGCUCACUACAAGUAAAUUUGAUCUCAUUGAAGUGGAUUAUGAAGCGUUUAUGAACUAUUGUAAUAUUACUUUUUGAACAAUUGUGUACACGUAUUUUGAAUAUUGUUGUAUAAGUAUGUGUAAGUACAUAAGACGUACAAUGUUUUGAGUUUUAUUGAAAAUCUAUGUAUUUGAAUUACUUAUGAGCCAAUUUAAUGUUUGAGAUUAUUUAUUGUAAAAUAAUAUUGGUAGUUUUUAAUUAGAAAUUGUGGCACAUAUUUUAUGGCCAAAAUGAUAUGACCACACUUCAAAGUGUAGCCUUAGGACUGUAUAUUGUGGUAAUCACAUGAACAAGGAAUAUACUUCAAAGUGUUGUCAUACAUGAGAUAGAAAA